rnacentral:rRNA from 2 species
ACUAAGCGUACACGGUGGAUGCCCUGGCAGUCAGAGGCGAUGAAGGACGUGCUAAUCUGCGAUAAGCGUCGGUAAGGUGAUAUGAACCGUUAUAACCGGCGAUUUCCGAAUGGGGAAACCCAGUGUGAUUCGUCACACUAUCAUUAACUGAAUCCAUAGGUUAAUGAGGCGAACCGGGGGAACUGAAACAUCUAAGUACCCCGAGGAAAAGAAAUCAACCGAGAUUCCCCCAGUAGCGGCGAGCGAACGGGGAGGAGCCCAGAGCCUGAAUCAGUGUGUGUGUUAGUGGAAGCGUCUGGAAAGGCGCGCGAUACAGGGUGACAGCCCCGUACACAAAAAUGCACAUAUUGUGAGCUCGAUGAGUAGGGCGGGACACGUGGUAUCCUGUCUGAAUAUGGGGGGACCAUCCUCCAAGGCUAAAUACUCCUGACUGACCGAUAGUGAACCAGUACCGUGAGGGAAAGGCGAAAAGAACCCCGGCGAGGGGAGUGAAAAAGAACCUGAAACCGUGUACGUACAAGCAGUGGGAGCACGCUUAGGCGUGUGACUGCGUACCUUUUGUAUAAUGGGUCAGCGACUUAUAUUCUGUAGCAAGGUUAACCGAAUAGGGGAGCCGAAGGGAAACCGAGUCUUAACUGGGCGUUAAGUUGCAGGGUAUAGACCCGAAACCCGGUGAUCUAGCCAUGGGCAGGUUGAAGGUUGGGUAACACUAACUGGAGGACCGAACCGACUAAUGUUGAAAAAUUAGCGGAUGACUUGUGGCUGGGGGUGAAAGGCCAAUCAAACCGGGAGAUAGCUGGUUCUCCCCGAAAGCUAUUUAGGUAGCGCCUCGUGAAUUCAUCUCCGGGGGUAGAGCACUGUUUCGGCAAGGGGGUCAUCCCGACUUACCAACCCGAUGCAAACUGCGAAUACCGGAGAAUGUUAUCACGGGAGACACACGGCGGGUGCUAACGUCCGUCGUGAAGAGGGAAACAACCCAGACCGCCAGCUAAGGUCCCAAAGUCAUGGUUAAGUGGGAAACGAUGUGGGAAGGCCCAGACAGCCAGGAUGUUGGCUUAGAAGCAGCCAUCAUUUAAAGAAAGCGUAAUAGCUCACUGGUCGAGUCGGCCUGCGCGGAAGAUGUAACGGGGCUAAACCAUGCACCGAAGCUGCGGCAGCGACGCUGAUGCGUUGUUGGGUAGGGGAGCGUUCUGUAAGCCUGCGAAGGUGUGCUGUGAGGCAUGCUGGAGGUAUCAGAAGUGCGAAUGCUGACAUAAGUAACGAUAAAGCGGGUGAAAAGCCCGCUCGCCGGAAGACCAAGGGUUCCUGUCCAACGUUAAUCGGGGCAGGGUGAGUCGACCCCUAAGGCGAGGCCGAAAGGCGUAGUCGAUGGGAAACAGGUUAAUAUUCCUGUACUUGGUGUUACUGCGAAGGGGGGACGGAGAAGGCUAUGUUGGCCGGGCGACGGUUGUCCCGGUUUAAGCGUGUAGGCUGGUUUUCCAGGCAAAUCCGGAAAAUCAAGGCUGAGGCGUGAUGACGAGGCACUACGGUGCUGAAGCAACAAAUGCCCUGCUUCCAGGAAAAGCCUCUAAGCAUCAGGUAACAUCAAAUCGUACCCCAAACCGACACAGGUGGUCAGGUAGAGAAUACCAAGGCGCUUGAGAGAACUCGGGUGAAGGAACUAGGCAAAAUGGUGCCGUAACUUCGGGAGAAGGCACGCUGAUAUGUAGGUGAAGUCCCUCGCGGAUGGAGCUGAAAUCAGUCGAAGAUACCAGCUGGCUGCAACUGUUUAUUAAAAACACAGCACUGUGCAAACACGAAAGUGGACGUAUACGGUGUGACGCCUGCCCGGUGCCGGAAGGUUAAUUGAUGGGGUUAGCCGCAAGGCGAAGCUCUUGAUCGAAGCCCCGGUAAACGGCGGCCGUAACUAUAACGGUCCUAAGGUAGCGAAAUUCCUUGUCGGGUAAGUUCCGACCUGCACGAAUGGCGUAAUGAUGGCCAGGCUGUCUCCACCCGAGACUCAGUGAAAUUGAACUCGCUGUGAAGAUGCAGUGUACCCGCGGCAAGACGGAAAGACCCCGUGAACCUUUACUAUAGCUUGACACUGAACAUUGAGCCUUGAUGUGUAGGAUAGGUGGGAGGCUUGGAAGUGUGGACGCCAGUCUGCAUGGAGCCGACCUUGAAAUACCACCCUUUAAUGUUUGAUGUUCUAACGUUGACCCGUAAUCCGGGUUGCGGACAGUGUCUGGUGGGUAGUUUGACUGGGGCGGUCUCCUCCUAAAGAGUAACGGAGGAGCACGAAGGUUGGCUAAUCCUGGUCGGACAUCAGGAGGUUAGUGCAAUGGCAUAAGCCAGCUUGACUGCGAGCGUGACGGCGCGAGCAGGUGCGAAAGCAGGUCAUAGUGAUCCGGUGGUUCUGAAUGGAAGGGCCAUCGCUCAACGGAUAAAAGGUACUCCGGGGAUAACAGGCUGAUACCGCCCAAGAGUUCAUAUCGACGGCGGUGUUUGGCACCUCGAUGUCGGCUCAUCACAUCCUGGGGCUGAAGUAGGUCCCAAGGGUAUGGCUGUUCGCCAUUUAAAGUGGUACGCGAGCUGGGUUUAGAACGUCGUGAGACAGUUCGGUCCCUAUCUGCCGUGGGCGCUGGAGAACUGAGGGGGGCUGCUCCUAGUACGAGAGGACCGGAGUGGACGCAUCACUGGUGUUCGGGUUGUCAUGCCAAUGGCACUGCCCGGUAGCUAAAUGCGGAAGAGAUAAGUGCUGAAAGCAUCUAAGCACGAAACUUGCCCCGAGAUGAGUUCUCCCUGACCCUUUAAGGGUCCUGAAGGAACGUUGAAGACGACGACGUUGAUAGGCCGGGUGUGUAAGCGCAGCGAUGCGUUGAGCUAACCGGUACUAAUGAACCGUGAGGCUUAACC